rnacentral:rRNA from 1 species
GUGGAGAGUUUGAUCCUGGCUCAGAUUGAACGCUGGCGGCAGGCCUAACACAUGCAAGUCGAGCGGUAACAGGAGUGCUUGCACUCGCUGACGAGCGGCGGACGGGUGAGUAAUGCCUAAGAAUCUGCCUAGUGGUGGGGGAUAGCCCGGGGAAACUCGGAUUAAUACCGCAUAAUCUCUACGGAGCAAAGUGGGGGAUCUUCGGACCUCACGCUUUAGGAUGAGCCUAUGGCCGAUUAGCUUGUUGGUGA